UACGUAGGUGGCAAGCGUUGUCCGGAUUUACUGGGCGUAAAGGGUGUGUAGGCGGAUGCUUAAGUAGAAAGUGAAAGGUUGGAGCUCAACUCCAACACUGCUUCCUAUACUGGGCGUCUUGAGUACCGGAGAGGAAGAUGGAACGACACGUGUAGCGGUGAAAUGCGUUGAUAUGUGUCGGAACACCAAUGGCGAAGGCAAUCUUCUGGACGGAUACUGACGCUGAGACACGAAAGCCAAGGGAGCGAAC
rnacentral:rRNA from 1 species